rnacentral:tRNA from 2 species
GGAGAAGUGGCCGAGUCGGUCGAAGGCGCUCCCCUGCUAAGGGAGUAUACUGGAAACAGUAUCGAGAGUUCGAAUCUCUUCUUCUCCU